rnacentral:rRNA from 1 species
CAAUAGCAUAUAUUAACGUUGUUGCAGUUGAAAAGCUCGUAGUUGAACUUUUGGUAGGAGCGACCUGGCCUUGGGCGCAUGCCCUUGUUUGCCGUGUGUCGUAUCUGGCCAUCCUUUUCCGCUUUGGCGGGAAUCCUUUACUGUGAGUAAACUGGAGUGCUCAAAACAAGACGUUUGUUUGGUACAUUAAAGCAUGGAAUAAUAAGAUAGGACCUGGUUACUAUUUUGUUGGUUUGCAUAGCUAGGUAAUGAUUAACAGGGACAGUUGGGGGUAUUCGUAUUUAAUUGUCAGAGGUGAAAUUCUUGGAUUUAUGAAAGACGAACGACUGCGAAAGCAUUUACCAAGGAUGUUUUCAUUAA